AGGGAGUCGUAUAGACCCGGGAGGCGACACGAGGCCUUCCGGGCCGACUAUGAUUGACUCGCGGCACUUUCUCCCACUUUUCCCUCAGAUAUCCCCGGUGCGUGCCCUGAGUUAUAAACCAACUACUCCGCGUACUUAUGCCAUGGGAGUGCACUCCUUGGGGAACGGACUCGUGCAGGAUCGAUAGGAUCGUGGGAAAUCGUAGCUCGAAAAGAAGAAGAAGAAUGAACUACUUAGUUGCAUUUGAUGAUCGUGAUGGAGGCAGAGAGUGCUGCUGAUCGCGAUCCAGAUCCGGGUCAAGAAUCACCUCCUGAUCCUAAGGAAACCUCAGCUGACGUAGAUCUACGUUCUCUUCGCGUGAACGCUCAGUCUGUGUUGGCUUGGGCCACAGAGCGUUCCGAAUCCCAGCCGCUAAAGACCCACAGAAGGCAAGAAGCUUGCGUUGCAAAGCUGCUGUCCCGCCUGACUGCGGAGAAAGAAGACUCGUUUAUGGUUGUUCUACAGCCGCUGCUGACGUCCAUCAGCUCUGUCCUGCUCCCAGCAGCAGAUAAGCCUGGAUUUCAAUGAGUCGUGUCCCAACUCCGGUGUGAACGAUUUCCUGACGUCAAGACGAAGUGGGGUCAAGUCAUGGGUGUUGCAAGGAAGCUGUCACAAGAUGAAUUGAUCCAGUAUUGAACGGCUACAGCACAACCGAGAGAACGAAAUGUACGUCGCAAUCAAGCUAUGUCGUUGCCAUCUUCUAUGUGCCAUGCGUUACCUGAUGUGCCAGCCUGCUAUGUCGGAUACCGCUAACCAUGCAUCGACUAGGCGCCAGGCGCGAACUGAUGGUGGUGGUAGUGGUGGUGGUGGUGAUGAGAAGGAGAGCUCUGUGCAAGAAUAACUUUGCAGUUUAGAGAGCGUGUCUGGGCAGGCGUGUAUUUACCGCCAUAUUGCCAGGUGUGUAUUUACCACCGUAUUAAUCAACCAUGCGCUACCUGAUGUACCAGCAUGCUAUAUCGGACACCACUCACCCUGCAUCGACUAGGCGCCAGAUGCGAACUGAUGAUGGUGGUGGUGGGAAGGAGAGCUCUGUGCCAGAGUAACUUUUUCAGUUUAGAGAGCGUGUGUGGACAGGUGUGUAUUUACCGCCGUAUGAAUCCACCACAGUACGAUCAGCUGACGUUAUAACUUAUAAGGAUGAUCUCGUGCAGCGAUAUGAUGAUAUUUUUUUAGUUUUUUCUAAGGACUCUCCACUGCGUUUUCGUUCCACUCGAAUAUGGAAAACGCGGAAGGUUGUUAGCACUGUGUUGAGGCAGCUAUUGUUGACUUUAUUCGGAAUUAAUUCUGUUGUAUUUGCACACAUUCCUGAGUGCAUUGUAUUAGCAUCCAAUGUGUGUUAUCUGUGCGAGCUUCUAACCUUGUGAACAUUCACCGAAGGUUUGGUUGGUGGCGCACAAGA